rnacentral:rRNA from 1 species
GACGAACGCUGGCGGCGUGCUUAACACAUGCAAGUCGAACGGAGUUAAGUAGCUUGCUACUUAACUUAGUGGCGAACGGGUGAGUAACGCGUGAGGAACCUGCCUCUCAGUGGGGGACAACAGUUGGAAACGACUGCUAAUACCGCAUAAAACCGUAGUACCGCAUGGUACAUCGGUCAAAGAUUUAUUGCUGAGAGAUGGCCUCGCGUCUGAUUAGCUAGUUGGUGGGGUAACGGCCCACCAAGGCGACGAUCAGUAGCCGGACUGAGAGGUUGACCGGCCACAUUGGGACUGAGAUACGGCCCAGACUCCUACGGGAGGCAGCAGUGGGGAAUAUUGGGCAAUGGGCGAAAGCCUGACCCAGCAACGCCGCGUGAAGGAAGAAGGCCUUCGGGUUGUAAACUUCUUUUACCAGGGACGAACACAAUGACGGUACCUGGAGAAAAAGCAACGGCUAACUACGUGCCAGCCGCCGCCGUAAGAC